AUUGAACGCUGGCGGCAGGCCUAACACAUGCAAGUCGAACGGUAACAGGAAGAAGCUUGCUUCUUUGCUGACGAGUGGCGGACGGGUGAGUAAUGUCUGGGAAACUGCCUGAUGGAGGGGGAUAACUACUGGAAACGGUAGCUAAUACCGCAUAACGUCGCAAGACCAAAGAGGGGGACCUUCGGGCCUCUUGCCAUCGGAUGUGCCCAGAUGGGAUUAGCUAGUAGGUGGGGUAACGGCUCACCUAGGCGACGAUCCCUAGCUGGUCUGAGAGGAUGACCAGCCACACUGGAACUGAGACACGGUCCAGACUCCUACGGGAGGCAGCAGUGGGGAAUAUUGCACAAUGGGCGCAAGCCUGAUGCAGCCAUGCCGCGUGUAUGAAGAAGGCCUUCGGGUUGUAAAGUACUUUCAGCGGGGAGGAAGGGAGUAAAGUUAAUACCUUUGCUCAUUGACGUUACCCGCAGAAGAAGCACCGGCUAACUCCGUGCCAGCCGCCGCGGUAA
rnacentral:rRNA from 1 species